rnacentral:rRNA from 1 species
AACGUAGGUUCCGAGCGUUAUCCGGAAUUACUGGGCGUAAAGCGUGCGUAGGUGGUUCGUUAAGUCCGAUGUGAAAGCCCUGGGCUCAACCUGGGAAUGGCAUUGGAUACUGGCGGGCUAGAGUGCGGUAGAGGGCAGUGGAAUUCCCGGUGUAGCAGUGAAAUGCGUAGAGAUCGGGAGGAACAUCUGUGGCGAAGGCGACUGCCUGGACCAGCACUGACACUGAGGCACGAAAGCGUGGGGAGCAAACGGG